GACAGAGGGUGCAAACGUUGUUCGGAAUUACUGGGCGUAAAGCGCGUGUAGGCGGCUUCGCAAGUCGGAUGUGAAAGCCCUGGGCUCAACCCAGGAAGUGCAUUCGAAACUGCAGAGCUGGAGUCCUGGAGAGGAAGGCGGAAUUCUCGGUGUAGAGGUGAAAUUCGUAGAUAUCGAGAGGAACACCGGUGGCGAAGGCGGCCUUCUGGACAGUGACUGACGCUGAGACGCGAAAGCGUGGGGAGCAAACAGG
rnacentral:rRNA from 1 species